CUGAUGCAACCGGUCUGAACAAAGUUGGAGUAAAUAUUUCCAUUGUCGACUACACAGAUUCUGAUGAAUCUCAGACUCCAUCUAGGAAUCCUGUUCAUGUUAACAGAUGUUUUCAGAUAUCAAGUCCAAGUUCUGCCUCUGACUAUGAACUCAGCCUCUCCAAAAAGGGUUACCACCAAGUUCCUAUCCCUAGGCUUAGGAGGACCAAAAGCAUACAGAUGAAAAACUGGAUUGAUUUGGAUUCGGAUGAGCUUUUUGACUCAACCUCAGCUGACAGUGGAGAGGAAUAUAUCCCAAAGACCAGUGAAGAUUCUGAUG